rnacentral:rRNA from 1 species
GACGGAAGGUGCAAGCGUUGCUCGGAAUCACUGGGCGUAAAGGGUGCGUAGGCGGCCGUGUAAGUCUGGCGUGAAAGCCCCGGGCUCAGCCCGGGAAGUGCGCUCGAAACUGCGCGGCUCGAGUGCCGGAGGGGAGAGUGGAAUUCCUGGUGUAGCGGUGAAAUGCGUAGAUAUCAAGGAGGAAUACCGGUGGCGAAAGCGA